rnacentral:lncRNA from 1 species
UGACCGCGCUCCCGGCGGACGGAGGGGGACAAGUGACCGCGCUCCCGGCGGACGGAGGGGGACAAGUGACCGCGCUCCCGGCGGACGGAGGGGGCAGUGACCGCGCUCCCGGCGGACGGAGGGGGACAAGUGACCGCGCUCCCGGCGGACGGAGGGGGACAAGUGACCGCGCUCCCGGGGGACGGAGGGGGCAGUGACCGCGCUCCCGGGGGACGGAGGGGGACAAGUGACCGCGCUCCCGGGGGACGGAGGGGGCAGUGACCGCGCUCCCGGGGGACGGAGGGGGACAAGUCACCGCGCUCCCGGGGGACGGAGGGGGCAGUGACCGCGCUCCCGGCGGACGGAGGGGGACAAGUCACCGCGCUCCCGGGGGACGGAGGGGGCAGUGACCGCGCUCCCGGGGGACGGAGGGGGCAGUGACCGCGCUCCCGGGGGACGGAGGGGGCAGUGACCGCGCUCCCGGGGGACGGAGGGGGCAGUGACCGCGCUCCCGGACUCCGAGGGAGCGGGGGGAGAGAGUGUCCGCUUUCCCAGGGCCACACAGGGUCUGGGAGGGACCCACUUUUUCUGGCAAAUAACCUGUGGGUGCACGCCCAUCACCUGGGGUAAUACGUAAAUGCGGUCUGAGUGCACCGGGGGCGGGGCCUGAGGUUGUGCCGAACAGGCACGGGGGUGAGGGUCCUGCCGGUGGGGCACCCCAGUCGAGACUAGGGUCUCAGGAUGCUCUGCGUACCCUCAGCUUGGAGAAACCUUUGAGAAUAUUCCAAGCAGUUUGGAUACUCGGAUAUGGCAGUGUGCGACUCACUGGUAACAGCUGUUCGCUCAAAACUGGUUGAGUGCAGGGCGUGGACCGCAUGCUCCUCCUUUAGCACCAGUGUGCCUGGGGAUGCUUUGCUUUUAACGUUAAAAAGGACUAAUGAGCAUCAUCAAU